GAUGAAGAACGCAGCGAAAUGCGAUAAGUAAUGUGAAUUGCAGAAUUCAGUGAAUCAUCGAAUCUUUGAACGCACAUUGCGCCCGCCAGUAUUCUGGCGGGCAUGCCUGUCUGAGCGUCAUUUCAACCCUCAUGCCCCUAGGGCGUGGUGUUGGGGAUCGGCCAAAGCCCGCGAGGGACGGCCGGCCCCUAAAUCUAGUGGCGGACCCGUCGUGGCCUCCUCUGCGAAGUAGUGAUAUUCCGCAUCGGAGAGCGAUGAGCCCCUGCCGUUAAACCCCCAACUUUCCAAGGCUGACCUCAGAUCAGGUAGGAAUACCCGCUGAACUUAAGCAUAUCAAUAAGCGGAGGA
rnacentral:misc_RNA from 1 species